AGAGUUUGAUCCUGGCUCAAGAUGAACGCUAGCUACAGGCUUAACACAUGCAAGUCGAGGGGCAGCAUGACCUAGCAAUAGGUUGAUGGCGACCGGCGCACGGGUGAGUAACACGUAUCCAACCUACCGGUUAUUCCGGGAUAGCCUUUCGAAAGAAAGAUUAAUACCGGAUAGUAUAACGAGAAGGCAUCUUCUUGUUAUUAAAGAAUUUCGAUAACCGAUGGGGAUGCGUUCCAUUAGUUUGUUGGCGGGGUAACGGCCCACCAAGACAUCGAUGGAUAGGGGUUCUGAGAGGAAGGUCCCCCACAUUGGAACUGAGACACGGUCCAAACUCCUACGGGAGGCAGCAGUGAGGAAUAUUGGUCAAUGGACGAGAGUCUGAACCAGCCAAGUAGCGUGAAGGAUGACUGCCCUAUGGGUUGUAAACUUCUUUUAUAUGGGAAUAAAGUGAGCCACGUGUGGCUUUUUGUAUGUACCAUACGAAUAAGGAUCGGCUAACUCCGUGCCAGCAGCCGCGGUAAUACGGAGGAUCCGAGCGUUAUCCGGAUUUAUUGGGUUUAAAGGGAGCGUAGGCGGACUAUUAAGUCAGCUGUGAAAGUUUGCGGCUCAACCGUAAAAUUGCAGUUGAUACUGGUCGUCUUGAGUGCAGUAGAGGUAGGCGGAAUUCGUGGUGUAGCGGUGAAAUGCUUAGAUAUCACGAAGAACUCCGAUUGCGAAGGCAGCUUACUGGACUGUAACUGACGCUGAUGCUCGAAAGUGUGGGUAUCAAACAGGAUUAGAUACCCUGGUAGUCCACACAGUAAACGAUG
rnacentral:rRNA from 1 species